GACGAACGCUGGCGGCGUGCCUAAUACAUGCAAGUUGAGCGAUGAAGAUUGGUGCUUGCACCAAUUUGAAGAGCAGCGAACGGGUGAGUAACGCGUGGGGAAUCUGCCUUUGAGCGGGGGCAACCUUUGGAAACGAAUGCUAAUACCGCAUAACAACUUUAAACAUAAGUUUUAAGUUUGAAAGAUGCAAUUGCAUCACUCAAAGAUGAUCCCGCGUUGUAUUAGCUAGUUGGUGAGGUAAAGGCUCACCAAGGCGAUGAUACAUAGCCGACCUGAGAGGGUGAUCGGCCACAUUGGGACUGAGACACGGCCCAAACUCCUACGGGAGGCAGCAGUAGGGAAUCUUCGGCAAUGGACGAAAGUCUGACCGAGCAACGCCGCGUGAGUGAAGAAGGUUUUCGGAUCGUAAAACUCUGUUGGUAGAGAAGAACGUUGGUGAGAGUGGAAAGCUCAUCAAGUGACGGUAACUACCCAGAAAGGGACGGCUAACUACGUG
rnacentral:rRNA from 1 species